rnacentral:rRNA from 1 species
GACGAACGCUGGCGGCGUGCCUAAUACAUGCAAGUCGUACGCUUCUUUUUCCACCGGAGCUUGCUCCACCGGAAAAAGAAGAGUGGCGAACGGGUGAGUAACACGUGGGUAACCUGCCCAUCAGAAGGGGAUAACACUUGGAAACAGGUGCUAAUACCGUAUAACAAUCGAAACCGCAUGGUUUUGAUUUGAAAGGCGCUUUCGGGUGUCGCUGAUGGAUGGACCCGCGGUGCAUUAGCUAGUUGGUGAGGUAACGGCUCACCAAGGCCACGAUGCAUAGCCGACCUGAGAGGGUGAUCGGCCACAUUGGGACUGAGACACGGCCCAAACUCCUACGGGAGGCAGCAGUAGGGAAUCUUCGGCAAUGGACGAAAGUCUGACCGAGCAACGCCGCGUGAGUGAAGAAGGUUUUCGGAUCGU